UACGUAGGGUGCGCGCGUUAAUCGGAAUUACUGGGCGUAAAGCGUGCGCAGGCGGUUUUGUAAGCCAGAUGUGAAAUCCCCGGGCUUAACCUGGGAAUGGCAUUUGGGACUGCAAGGCUCGAGUGCGGCAGAGGAGACUGGAAUUCCUGGUGUAGCAGUGAAAUGCGUAGAUAUCAGGAGGAACACCGAUGGCGAAGGCAGGUCUCUGGGCUGACACUGACGCUCAUGCACGAAAGCGUGGGGAGCAAACAGG
rnacentral:rRNA from 1 species